GGAGGGUUAGCCUAACGGUAAGGCAGUGGACUUGAAAUCCACCGUCCCUUCCGGGACAUGGGGGUUCAAAUCCCUCACCCUCCG
rnacentral:tRNA from 1 species